AGGGGAGCCUGAUGCACCAACGCCGCGUGAGCGAUGAAGGCCUUUGGGUCGUAUAGCUCUGUCCUUGGGGAAGAAACAAAUGACGGUACCCUUGGAGGAAGCCCCGGCUAACUACGUGCCAGCAGCCGCGGUAAUACGUAGGGGGCGAGCGUUAUCCGGAAUUAUUGGGCGUAAAGAGUGCGUAGGUGGCCAUAUAAGCGCGGGGUGAAAGGCAAUAACUUAACUAUUGUAAUGCCUUGCGAACUGUGUGGCUUGAGUGCAGGAGAGGAAAGUGGAAUUCCUAGUGUAGCGGUGAAAUGCGUAUAUAUUAGGAGGAACACCAGUGGAGAACGCGACUUUCUGGACUGUAACUGACACUGAGGCACGAAAGCGUGGGGAGCAAACAGGAUUAGAUACCCUGGUAGUCCACGCCGUAAACGAUGAGCACUACGUGUCGGGGUCGCAAGACUUCGGUGCCGCAGUUAACGCAUUAAGUGCUCCGCCUGGGGAGUACGCAGGCAAGUGUG
rnacentral:rRNA from 1 species